GCCCAAUGAUGAGACCAAGGCGAAUGUGAGCUCAGUGGGUAAGAGUCAGAGCUCUCCUGUGUUCCUGUUGGCUGGUAAUCUUGGCUGGGCAGCGGAGAUUUGUUGCUUUGCUGUAAGGGCCUGCCUACAUUAAGUUAGUUCUUCCCCUCAAGCUCUCCUUCAGAGAAAUGCAGGAGAGAGAUGGGAAGGGUAAUCAGUGUGUGUGCGUGUGUCUGGGGCGACAUGGGUCGAAGCUCUGUUCUCUCUAAUGUCCAAUGAGCUAUGAGCUGGUUCUUUGGUAAUCUGAGGGCA